AACGAACGCUGGCGGCAGGCUUAACACAUGCAAGUCGAACGCAUCCUUCGGGGUGAGUGGCAGACGGGUGAGUAACGCGUGGGAACGUGCCCUUCAGUUCGGGAUAACCCAGGGAAACUUGGGCUAAUACCGGAUACGUGCGAGAGCAGAAAGAUUUAUCGCUGAAGGAUCGGCCCGCGUCUGAUUAGCUAGUUGGUGGGGUAAUGGCCCACCAAGGCGACGAUCAGUAGCUGGUCUGAGAGGAUGAUCAGCCACAUUGGGACUGAGACACGGCCCAAACUCCUACGGGAGGCAGCAGUGGGGAACAUUGGACAAUGGGCGCAAGCCUGAUCCAGCCAUGCCGCGUGAGUGGUGAAGGCCUUAGGGUUGUAAAGCUCUUUCGUCCGGGACGAUAAUGACGGUACCGGAAGAAGAAGCCCCGGCUAACUUCGUGCCAGCCGCCGCAGUAA
rnacentral:rRNA from 1 species